CCUAAACUUUAAUGCUAAUGUACAACUAGCAUCCGCCAGGGAACUACGAGCACCAGCUUAAAACCCAAAGGACUUGGCGGUGCCUCAGACCCCCCUAGAGGAGCCUGUUCUAGAACCGAUAACCCCCGUUCAACCUCACCACUCCUUGCCCUUUCCGCCUAUAUACCACCGUCGCCAGCUUACCCUGUGAAGGAAAAGUAAGCGAAAUGGAGACUCUCCAAAACGUCAGGUCGAGGUGUAGCACACGGAGUGGGAAGAAAUGGGCUACAUUGCCUGAUUUAGGCUACUAACGGAAAGUCGCCUGAAAAGACUAUUUGAAGGUGGAUUUAGCAGUAAGAGGGGAAUAGAGUGCCCCUUUGAAGCCGGCUCUGAGGCGCGCACACACCGCCCGUCACUCUCCCCAACAACCCUAAUUCACGAGUAAUUUAACCCUACGCAUGUAAAAAGGGGAGGCAAGUCGUAACAUGGUAAGUGUACCGGAAGGUGCACUUGGAAUAAC
rnacentral:rRNA from 1 species